rnacentral:lncRNA from 1 species
UGUUUAGGUUUUUGGUGGUGAUGUAGUGGGUUUAGUUUUAGGUUAUUGGACACUUGUCACUCUAUAAAUCCUUCUUACACUUCUUACAAUUAGAAGCCUUUGUAGAAUAACUUGGCCCUUAUUUACAAAUAAAUUUUUAGUAUGUUAAGGUGAAGAUGAACCCUGCAUUUUUGGUCCGAAACAGUAUUGCUACAUGUUGGAAUCUUGUAUAAUAUUCUUUUAAAUUGUUUUCCUUUUUCAUUCUUUCUGAAAUUCAUUAUUAAAUCCAUGACUAUUUUCAUGCUAAGACAUCAUAAUCAUGUUCUCAUAAAGGAUAUGAAGAUUCACGCCUUGAUAACUAAGUUGGAUUUACGGUGAGGUAAUAUUAUUGUUUCUUUGCUUCUAGAAAUAUGUGGUUUCUCAUCCCUGUAUCAUCAUUGUUACAGAUGAUUUGCUUAGUGCAUAUAUAGCAUGAACUGAUAUAGAUUUUGUUUGUUAAUAUAUAUAUACAUUGUUAAUUGUUUAGUAUACAAUUAGAUAAUGGCAAUCAAGUAAAGUGGAAACCAUGGAUUUUGAUGUUCGUAUAAUUAGGCUAAUUUGUUGCUCGAAGUAUGGAGGGUGGUUUUGCUCGCCCUCUGUUGCCGUUUGAUACAGUUUACUUACACUUUGAUGCCAUUUAGACUUAGUUAUAGUGGAGUUGAUUUCAACAACAUUAAUGAUCAAUAUUAUUAUUGUUAUAUGUGUGUUUGUGUGAGAUCUUGUAAUUAAUUUGAACAUGAUAAUACUUGAAUUAAAGAACCCUAUGAACAGGGGCGGACCUAGGUUAGGCCCAGGGUGGGCGGGCGCACCCCUUGAAAAAAAAAAUUUAGUGUAUUUUUUAGACAAAAAACCUGACCGCACCCCCUGAAAAUAUGCUUGAACCACUCAUCCGCACCCCCAACAAAUAAUUUCUGGGUCCGCCACUGCCUAUGAACCUUACUAUUGUUGAAAUUGAUGCAUUAAAGGACGAAUAUGCAAGUGACCAGGCAUAUUGGAAUUCAUAGGAAGCUAACAUGGUUACAUUAUAUAUAUUUUGAUUCCCACAUUUUUUUAUAUGUGCAUAAACCAGUCUUAUGAUUUUGAAUAACUUUUCAGAAAAAAGGUGUGGUUGGUUUUUGGCUAAUUACAAUGAAGACAAUUGAAAUAUUGGCAGAGGUGGUAAGAACCCGAUUUACAAUAAUAUACACAUUUUGAACCACGGGGUGUCAGCCCAGUGGCCACUGGCACCCAUCUAAAACCGGUUCGGGAGUCCAAAGUGGUGCAGGUUUGAAUCCUGCUUGCAGGCUCUUCGCUCCCCUCGAACUCGGCUGGGUAGUCACUACCAGACAUCGUUGCCGGGUCAUUAGCUUGGGAAGGGAGAUCCCUUCCGCAGUCAGCAGUGCCGUGCAAUUACCCUUCCUUUCACAUUUUGUAAAAUUUAAAGUAUCGUUUAUGAGUACUGAAAAGAUAUUAUCAGAUCAGUGAUAUAAGAUUUUUUUGAAUAAAACGAUUAAAAACAUU